rnacentral:rRNA from 1 species
ACGGGAGGCAGCAGUAGGGAAUUUUCGGCAAUGGGGGCAACCCUGACCGAGCAAUGCCGCGUGAAUGAUGAAAUUCUUCGGAAUGUAAAAUUCUGUUAUUAGGGACGAAAGUAAUUAAUAGGAAAUGAUUAGUUAUUGACGGUACCUGAUUAGAAAGCCCCGGCUAACUAUGUGCCAGCAGCCGCGGUAAUACAUAGGGGGCAAGCGUUAUCCGGAUUUAUUGGGCGUAAAGCGUGCGUAGGCGGCUAAUUAAGUCUGCCGUGAAAUCCCAUAGCUUAACUAUGGAAAGUCGGUGGAAACUGGUUAGCUUGAAUGCAGAAGAGGUAAGUGGAAUUCCAUGUGUAGUGGUAAAAUACUUAGAUAUAUGGAGGAACACCAGUGGCGAAAGCGGCUUACUGGUCUGUUAUUGACGCUGAGGCACGAAAGCGUGGGGAGCAAACAGGAUUAGAUACCCUGGUA